AUGCAUUUCCCACCGAUAAAAAAGGGACCGAUCUUUUCCCCAUGCCUCACGAUGUCGUUCUGUUUGGGCUUCUCUUACGGUUUCGCCGCCGGCCUCCCCAAGCCGGUAGUAGACCCUCGACCCCGGGUGCUCCUCGCGGCGGCUGCACUGGACGACGCAUCGGACGCGGCCAUCCCCGUCGCAGCUCCAGUUCGUGCGGGAUCCAGCAGCCGCUCCCUCAUGCCUUUCCUAGGCCCUGUGUCAUCCUCGCGGCAGCGGCAUCGAACGCGGCAGGCGUUGCCAUCCCCAUCGCUGCACCAGUUCGUGCGACAUCCAGCAUACGCAGAGAACGCGGCGGACGUGGCCAUCCCAGUUGUUGCCCCAGUUCGUGCGGGAUCCAGCAGGAUGACCUCGGGAAGGAUCAGGUCCAUGGCCGUAUUCAUGUUCUACUGUCACUGCUGCAAGGACACUCGAGGUGCUAAGGCUCACGUCAAUGAGGCAGAUGGUGAUGAUGUAAGGAAUCAGAUCCAAUUCUUAGGAGAAGUCAUGCAGCCUCGAAUUGUCUUUGGUCGCCGGCGGGCGUGGCCUCUCGCACUUUUGGACGGCUUCUUUGCCCUGCCGCCCGAGCUUCAGGUUGCACGCACGUCAGAAGCUGAGUUGCUCUGUUAG
rnacentral:rRNA from 1 species